rnacentral:rRNA from 1 species
GGCUCAGAGUGAACGCUGGCGGCGUGCUUAACACAUGCAAGUCGAACGGAUGAAAUAAGCUUGCUUAUUUCGUUAGUGGCGCACGGGUGAGUAAUGUAUAGCUAACCUGCCCUUUAGUGGGGGACAACAGUUGGAAACGACUGCUAAUACCCCAUAUUCCUUCUUAUCAUAAGGUAAGUUGGGAAAGAUUUAUUGCUAAAGGAUGGGCAUGCGUGACAUUAGCUAGUUGGUAAGGUAACGGCUUACCAAGGCUACGAUGUCUAGGGGAUCUGAGAGGAUGACCCCCCACACUGGCACUGAGAUACGGGCCAGACUCCUACGGGAGGCAGCAGUAGGGAAUAUUGGGCAAUGGACGCAAGUCUGACCCAGCCAUGCCGCGUGCAGGAUGAAGGCGUUAUGCGUUGUAAACUGCUUUUAUACAGGAAGAAACGACUCUUGCGAGAGGCAUUGACGGUACUGUAUGAAUAAGCACCGGCUAACUCCGUG